GAUGAACGCUGGCGGCGUGCCUAAUACAUGCAAGUCGAGCGAACAGACGAGGAGCUUGCUCCUCUGACGUUAGCGGCGGACGGGCGAGUAACACGUGGAUAACCUACCUAUAUGACUGGGAUAACUUCGGGAAACCGGAGCUAAUACCGGAUAAUAUAUUGUACCGCAUGGUUCAAUAGUGAAUGACGGUUUUGCUGUCACUUUUAGAUGGUUCCGCGCCGCAUUAGCUAGUUGGUAAGGUAACGGCUUACCAAGGCAACGAUGCGUAGCCGACCUGAGAGGAUGAUCGGCCACACUGGAACUGAGACACGGUCCAGACUCCUACGGGAGGCAGCAGUGGGGAAUAUUCGGCAAUGGGCGAAAGCCUGACGCAGCAACGCCGCGUGAGUGAAGAAGGUCUUCGGGUCGUAAAACUCUGUUAUUAGGGAAGAACAGCUGCGUGAGUAACUAUGCACGUCUUGACGGUACCUAAUCAGAAAGCAACGGCUAACUACGUG
rnacentral:rRNA from 1 species